UACGUAGGGUCCGAGCGUUGUCCGGAAUUAUUGGGCGUAAAGGGCUCGUAGGCGGUCUGUCGCGUCGGGAGUGAAAACUUACAGCUUAACUGUGAGCGUGCUUCCGAUACGGGCAGACUUGAGGUAUUCAGGGGAGAACGGAAUUCCUGGUGUAGCGGUGAAAUGCGUAGAUAUCGAGAGGAACACCUGCGGCGAAGGCGGGUAGCUGGGCCGACACUGACGCUGAUGCGCGAAAGCCAGGGGAGCGAACGGG
rnacentral:rRNA from 1 species